rnacentral:rRNA from 1 species
CCUACGGGUGGCAGCAGUGAGGAAUAUUGGUCAAUGGGCGCGAGCCUGAACCAGCCAAGUCGCGUGAGGGAUGACGGUCCUACGGAUUGUAAACCUCUUUUGCCGGGGAGCAAGUGUGCGUUCGUGAACGCGCGUCGAGAGUACCCGGAGAAACAGCAUCGGCUAACUCCGGGCCAGCAGCCGCGGUAAUACGGAGGAUGCGAUGGUUAUCCGGAUUUUUGGGGUUUAAAGGGUGCGUAGGCGGUAUGCCAAGUCAGCGGUAAAAAUGCGGUGUUUACCGCCGUCGAGCCGUUGAAACUGGCGUUCUUGAGUGUACGAGAAGUAUGCGGAAUGCAUGGUGUAGCGGUGAAAUGCAUAGAUAUCACGCAGAACUCCGAUUGCGAAGGCAGCAUACCGGCGCCCUACUGACGCUGAGGCACGAAAGCGUGGGUAUCGAACAGGAUUAGAUACCCGAGUAGUC